CCAAUCAGGGGAAAGGGUUCAUGAGGGAAAACUUAUAAGGGAAUAAAAUAUGAAUUUACAACUGGGGUACAAUGGUUUUAACAUGCAUUAACAUUACUAAUGGGGGUGAAACAACAUUGUCCAUGUCAAGCAGGUUCAAAGGUCUGUUCACAGAUGUCCAUUCCAGUGUGUAAGUCCAUAGUUUUAAACUUCAUCUUCAUUAUAUUCUUUGUAGAUCUGUCUCCACUUGUGGUAUAGUCUCUGUUUCUGUUUGGUGCCUUCCACAUGCAUCCUUCAAAAGUCUAUAGCUCCCAGAAAAGCUUGGGUUUUUUUGUUGUUUGUUGGUGGAGUCAUUGUUAUAAUCUUAUUGAUGACAUCUGUUGGAAUCUGAUUAUGUCUAUUUUGCUAUUUCACUCUUAGGAACUGAAUUUCUCUGGCAGGUCUCUUGACUUUAUUUCUCUUGAUGGCAAAACCGGCCUCGAGGAGAAUCUGGAUGAUUUUUUGUCUUUUUUUAAAAAUUUCUUCUACUGUGUCUUCUUAUACGAUGAUGUCAUCGAUGUACUGCAGGUGCUCUGGGGCUUUACUCUUUUCUAGGGUGGCCUGGAUUAACUUAUGGCAAAUGGUUGGACUGUGCUUUCACUUCUGAGGCAGUUGAUUCCAGGUGUACUGUAUAUCUUUUCAGGUGAAAGUAAAUUGUGUUUUGCGCUUUGCUGCUAAGGGAUUGGAGAAAAAUGUAUCAGUAAUAUCAGUAAUGGCGUACUAUUUCAUUGUUUUGGAUUUCAGCUUGUAUUGGAGUUCCAACAUGUCUGGUACAGCAGCACUUAAUGGUGGCGUGACUUUAUUUAAGUUACGAUAGUCCAUUGUCAGUUUUCAUUCUUCACUGGAUUUACGUACAGACCAGAUAGGGCUAUUGAAGGGUGAGUGUGUUUUGCUGACUAUUUCUUGAUUCCUUAACUUCCUGAUUAUUUUGUGAAUGGGGAUUACAGUAUUUCGGUUUGUCUUGUAUUGUCGCUUGUGUACAGUUGCAGUGGUUAUUGGCACUUGUUGAUUUUUGACUUGGAGUAGUUCCAUAAUGGAGGGGUUUUCUGAGAGGCCAGAUAGGGCAGACAAUUGUUUGGACUUUUCUUUAAUCCUUGUGGUUACACUGAAAGUUCAUCGGUAUUCCUUCGGGUUUUUGAAGUAUUCUCUUUUUAGGUAGUCCAUACUAAGAAUGCAAAGGGCUUCUGGCUCUGUCACAAUGGAAUGUUUUUGCCAUUGGUUUCCUGUCAAGUUUAUAUUGGCUUCUAUUACUGACAACUCUUGAGACUUUCUGGUCACUCUAGAAAUAGAAACAGUCUCUAUAUUCUUAUGUUUCGAUGGCAUUAAAGUAUAUUGGGUACUAGUAUUUACUAAAGUCCGGUAUUUUUGAGGAUUCGAUGUGUCAGGUUAUUGAAUUUAUACAGUUUAGUAAACUUUAUUAUUUUCUUGGUUCUUAUCCUUCUUUUGGUAGAAGGCAGGGCUCUUUUAUUGGUUUUGAUUAGAGUAUUCAUCGUCCGACUUUGCUUUCUUCAAGGUUUUUUUGUUAUUGUCAAAGCGGACUUCUAUUUUUUUGUGUUUCAGAGAUUGUAGAGCAUCUGCAUUAAUCACGUAGAUAACUUUUUUGUUGUUUUGUUGUAAUUCUUUUACUCUGGUUUUGAGUUUGGAAGUGGGUUUACUAUUUUAUUUUUUCAUGGUUUUUUCCUUGCUGCGCAAAUAGGACUAUAGUUGAUUGUGUGAUUUCCGUUUGGGGUUUUCUUUUUUUCUGCGUGCUAAGAAAGGAGACUGUGAAUGAGGCUGGGACCAAGACUGAGGUUGAAACCGUGGUUGAAAUUAUUUUAUUGGUCUGUUUCUAAAGUUUCUGUAGUCCAUAUAGACUUUAUCAUCUCUAUCUCUAUAGUCGUUUUCAUAUUUGAAAUAUUUAUAGGACUUUUCUAUUGCUUUUUUAGGAUGGGUAGGUCGGUGUCGGGUAUCAGAGGACUUUUUCAAAUUUUUUGUUAUGGUUCGUAUUUAUGAACAUGUGUUCACAGUUGGUUCAGCUGUUUUUGGAUUGUAUAUUGAUAUUAAGCAGUUGAGGUAUGAUGCAGGGGCAUCUCUAAUCACUUGCCUUCACAUUGGCUCUGUACAUGAAAUUUUCUCUGGUUCUAAAUAGUCAUCAUAAUUUGAGUUGCAAUAAAUGAGUUUUAGCAUAGUUAAUUCUCGUAAGUAUUGGAUGCCUUUUUUUGGAUUCGUCCACUUUUUCAGAGAAUUCAUUAAGUAUUCUUUAAAUGGAUAUUUUUCUCUCACGGCAUGGAGGAUCCAGAGUUAAGAGACUGAGAUUGUAUGUCUUUUUUGUGAUUUCUUGUUCUGUUUCGCGGUCUUGAGCGAGGGAUUCUAGUUGUUGUGCUCCAUGACUUUUUAAUAAGUGGCUUCUGGUUUCAUUAUUUUAACAUCGUAUCAGUCAGGUGAGAAUUUGUUCCAUCAGGCUGGCGGCUGUAAUUCCGUCGUAGAUCCUGGAGCUCUGCUGGGGUCAUUGUUCGCAGUACUUCACUUGUUCGCACAACUACUGCUCCAGAAUAAGGGUCUCUCCUCCGUGGAACUAUUUCCAUUUCCCUUCUGACGCUUCUAUGUGGAACCACUUUCUUUCUCUCUCUGCCUCUCUCACGUGGAGGCAGAGACUGAGCAUGUAGAGGGGAUAGACUUCUACUCCGUUGUCUAAGCCCACGAGGUGGAGGUAGCGAGUAGUCCUUCAGACCUUGGGAUGAAGGUCUCAACCGUUCUUCUUAUCCUCCGCUGGAAAGUCAAGAAGAGAAUAUUUGGGUGUCAGCCUUGUCUUUGGUGGUUUAUUGGUCAUCUGUACUGCCACCCCUUCUUCCUUUAGGUGUGCUCCCUUUUCUUUUGGGCACGCUCCUAAUUCUUUUGGGCGCGCUCCUUCUCUCACUGCUGCUUCUUCCUCUUUUGCAGCUAUCCAUUCGUCCACUACUACAUAGCUGGACGGGAUAGGUUCCAUAGGAAUGGCAAGUCCCUUUGCUCCUUCUUCUUUUUCUUUUUCUUUUUCUUUUUCUUCUUUUUCUUCUCCUUCCAUACACCUUAAUCAUGGAACUAGGCCUGUAGCUUCUGCAUAAUCCCUUAUCCAUAUCUUCUUUUUAGUUAGGGAGGCAAUAGUGAUUCUCGGAUUGGUAGUUUGGGUCUUCAUCUCCAUCAUAGCCUUAACAUUAGAUGUCGUAGUGUGAGUUCCAGUGUCCAUGAGAUCUACGGUCUGGACUCCAGUUUCAACAGAUUUAGCAGAAGCUAUGGUGACUUCAAGUUGAGUCUGAGUCCCACACUCAAUUGACUUAAUAGAGAUGGCACUGACUUCAGGUUGGGUCUGUGUUCCAUGCUCAGUUGAAUUAACGGAGACAGCGCUAACUUCAGGUUGAGUUUGUGUUCCACACUCAGUCAGCUUAACAGAGACGGCACUGACUUUGGGUUGAGUUUGUGUUCCACACUCAGUCAGCUUAACAGAGACGGUGCUGAUUUCGGGUUGAGUUUGUGUUCCACACUCAGUCAGCUUAACAGAGACGGCACUGACUUUGGGUUGAGUUUGUGUUCCACACUCAGUCAGCUUAACAGAGACGGUGCUGAUUUCGGGUUGAGUUUGUGUUCCACACUCAGUCAGUUUAACAGAGAUGGUGUUGAUUUCGGGUUGAGUCUGUAUCCCGACGUCUGUGGAUUCAAUAGGGGCAUCAUUUGUUUCAGGUGACAUAUUUUGACUUUCUGCCUCUGCCCUAGGCUUUUGAUAGUGAUCUAUGGCAGCUUUAUAAGCUGUCGUUAGACCCCAGCAUAAAGCAAGGAGCUGCGUAUUUGGGUUAUCGUAUGAAAGACACCGUUUAACUAAACAACGUGCCAUCUCGUCAGGAUUAGACACGUGUUCUGGCGUGAAGUCCUAAACAAUGGGAGGUUUCACACGCCAUACCAGUUUGCCAAAAUUUACCCAUGCUCCUUGCCAUCCAGAAACUGUCCUUUCCAAGACCUUUCCCAAAGUUCCAGCAAAUCCUCUUGAGGUCUGGCCUUUUCUACAACAUGGAAAGCAACACAACAUUAUUCUUCCAGUUUUAAAUAACUCUUUCAUUGCCUUCACCAGUACUAGGAUUGUUACUAAACAAUUUAAGUAAAAAUUGGAGUCAAUUGUAAUGAUGGGGAUCUUCUUUAGCAGGCCUUUGAUGUCAAAAUCGAAGAAAGUGAAAUACUCCUUCCAUUCAUUCCAAUCAAGGAAAGUGAAAUACUCCUUCCAUUCAUCCCAAUCAAAGAAAGGAACAUACUCCUCCCAUUCAUCCCCAGUUGGGCGUUUCCCUACAGGAUAGCCCAAGACAGGCACAAAUAUAGCUAAUACAAUGAAACAAGUAGUUAGAAUAGCCAUUGUUAGAAUAGCCAUUGUUUCUCUUUGUUCUUAAACAAUAGGUUUAUUUAUAUAAACAAGCCUCUCUUGGCAGUUUUCCUGGUAACUGUUCCAAAACAAACCAGGAUAACCAAAACAAUCUCCCUGUACGGAUCACCAAAAAUCUGUGGUAGUUUGGACCUUGGCCUCCUGCCAAAUGCUCAAACCUCCAGUAGAAGCCCUCCCUUCCCCCUUCCUUCUUCCCUUAGGGCAAAGAAAGGAAAAAAAACUAUAAAAAUUAAAGAACUCAAAGCCAAGUUGUUUAUAUAAAAAUAUAUAUAUUUAUGUAAAUUACAGUUAUAUACAGUUAAAAUGCUGUAUACACAGUAAAAGGGAAUCCACCCCCCAAAGGGAUAGGGAAAGGGGAAAAAAGAAAGGACAAAAGGGACAAAAAGGUGCCGCAGUCUGGGUAGGAGGAAGGGACACGCAGCACACGAAGGUUCGUACUCUGUUGCAGGUUUAUUAAGGAAGGGUACUAGAGACACAGGUGCGCUGACGCGGAACAAGGGGUGCGCAGGGUUUUUAUAGGUUCAGGGAUGGAAAGGUCUGGAAACUGGGAGGAGUUAGGGAUUGACAACUGGGAAGGACCAAUGAGGAAUUGAUAACAUGCAUACAUUAACUCUCAACCUAUCACAAUAAACAGGGGGUGUGGUAAGACCGCCCAUACUGCGGCAAAUCUUACCCAAUCAGGGAAAGGGAAACUCUAACCAAUCAGGGACCGAGGAUUCGUGAGGGGAGAACAUAUUUGAAAUAAAAUAUUAUAUAGAACUGGGGUACAUUAAACUUUAACAUGCAUUAACAGUAAGGAAUAAAACUAUUGUUCAACUUGUCAUAUCCGGGUAUUAUGCCUUGUCCGUAUAUAUGUGAAAAUCAUGUGUAAAAGUCCAAGUCCGUUAAACACAGUCCUCAUUAUAUUCUUUAUAGACUUUUCGCCACUUUAGGUACAUCUUUUGAAUUCUCUUCUUGUCCUCCACAAAAAGGGACACCAAACAGGUAUACGCUAUCAAACUCAAGAAUUAUAAUAAUAACUAGCAAAACAGAUCUCACCAUGUCCCUUAGAAAAGUAGGAUUGGCAGACACGGCCAGCACUCCCCGAACCCUCCACGUGGCAGGACAGUGGACGCUGCAGGCCUCAGCCUUAGAUAAGCGAGACUAACGCAAGGACCCACUGUUCCCGAACUUCGCCGGAAGAGAAGAGAGCGAGGUCUCUAAUCUCUAACUUUUUAAUAUCCUGGUUUACUUAAAAAUCUUAUGGAAUACUGGGUACUUGGCCACUUCCUUGGUUACAAACUGGUCACCAGGAAGGCCUAGAUCAAAACCAUCACAACUUGUUCCAUUCUUUAUAAUUCAGGUCUGUUGGGGUGGUCUCUUUGCUUUUAUUCAUCCAUAUUACAAGAGAUCUUAAAGAGUCUUUAUCUAUGGGAUGACCUUCUUCCUUAAUAGACUCCUUCAUGCACUUAUAUAGUUCCUUUCAUUUUUACUUAAGUGGGCUCCCAUUUUGUUGUUAAUCUCUUAGAAUACAUUAGAAUGGCUCACCUCCAGUAUGAUGAAGGAUGUUUGGAUUUGUUGAUUGCUGGUUGCAAUGAUUGUCUGAAUUUGCAGCUUUUCAUUCUGCCAUACCUGUGGUGUGUUGCUGUCUGUGGAGUGUUUCUGCAGUUUUCUUUCUCACACGAAGCUUCACUUGCAGCAUGUCUCUGCCUGCAUUCUCCACCAUUUGCAGUGCAUGGGUUCGAAGAAAUGAAGCUGCAACACUUCUUGGGGAAUUAACUAAAAGAACUUUUUAUUAAUGUAACAGAAAAGACCUGGGCUGAUCGGCCAACUUAGGGGAACAUAAGGAGAAACUAAACUGCACAAUCAACAAGGCUCCUGCCUUUUAUAGGGUAGGGUAGGGUAGGGAAGGCUCUGGAACAAGAGGUGGAGCUAAACUAUAUAAGGAAGAAAUGACCAUAUAAGGCUGGUACUGCAAUGCAGCACCACUGGCCAGUAGAAACACAGGAUUCGAGGGUGCAGGGAAACCAAGGGAAAAUGGGGUACAAUGAAGGGAAAUAAUACAAUACAUAGUGCAGUAAUAUAACACAAAAUUUAAAACACAUUUUCUCAAAAAACAGGCUCCCAACAAGUGGAAGGGACAGAAAACACAAACCUGGGUCUGUCAUCAGGGUACAAGAGAAUGGAGAAGAAGCAAUCUUUUAUGUCUGUGACAGCAAUUGACCAGUCCCUUGGAAUCAUAGUAGGGGAAGGCAUUCCUGGCUGGAGGGCUCCAAUGGGCUCAAUGACCUCAUUGACCUUACAGAGGUCUUGUAGGAGCCUCCAUUUGCCAGUAGCCCUUUUAAUACAAAAGAUAGGGGAGUUCCACGGGCUGGUGGAUGCUUCAAUGUGACCCUUAUCAAAUUGUUCUUCUACUAAUUGUGUUAUUACCUGUAGCCAGUCCCCUCUCAGGGGCCAUUCAUCCACCCAAACUGGAUAAUUUGAAACUCAGCUCAGGUGGGGGAGGUCCUGCACAACACUGGCCCUUAUUGAAAAUCUAAUGUCAAAGAAACCCCCUAUUACCCCAGUAUAUCCUGACCCUACAGUGUGAGCAGAAUAUUUAGGACAAAUGGUUUAAUUGUGGCUGUUUGUUGUUCUGGUCCAGUUACCAGUGAAAGGUCCCAUGAUUGCUUUGGAAUUUGGACUCCUCCAACUCUGGCUACUUCCAUCAGGGUGGAAACCACAGUCCAACUCUUAGACCAGUCCUUCAAAGCUGUAAUUGUUACAUCAGCACCUGUAUGCAGUAGACCAUUAAUAGACACCAUCUGCUCAGAAAAUGAAAUAACACAUAUUAACAUUGGGCGCUUAUUUAAGAUGGAUUGUGACCAAAUAAUUAAAGGAGUCUUAAGUCCUAGUUGUUCCCAUAGAUGCUGAAUAGACUGUAGCCUGGCAAUAGGUUCUGUGUUAGUGAUCCUCUUUGGAGGAGGCGUAGCCUGGACCUUCACUGUAAUCCAUUCCUCAUUAAUGUUGCUUAAAAUUUGUGGAAUGACUAUUAAACCUUUAUCAACCAUAUCUGAAUUUCUGGACAAAAGGUAAGCAUCAUUAGGCAAAAUGUUUGCUGAAGGAGUAGUUAUGUUACACAAUUCAUUGUCCCACAGCGUGAUUAUCAUAGUAGGUGUUAAUUGUAUCUCCUCUGAAACUGAGGAGCUCAAUCCUCUUCUUGAAUGACUGUGAGUCCCUGAUAUUGAUGCUUCCUGGGGGUAUUUUCUAUCUUCAUGCUCCCCCGAGCGCUCAUCUCCCAGUUUCCCUGUUUUCUUUUCCAUUUAGGAGAGUCUGGCAAUAGUUUAUGGUUUGCAUUGUACUUAGACCUGCAAUGCAUUUGCCAGUGAAAUCCUUUUUUACGUCUUAGACAUGGGCUUGGUGGAGUGGCAGCAGACUUACGGGCAAAAGAGCAAUCUUUUUUUUUCUCUACAGAUUCUCCUUUUAAGUUUAAAAUGCUGUUUAUAAUGUCCCGGUUUUCCACAUUCAUAACACUUACGUUCAAAUUUGUUCCCUUCAGUGAUGGCAUUAGCUAAGGCUUUCAUUUUGUAUUUAGUGGACCCAAUAAUGAUUCAAUAAUGAUUCAAUCAAGCCUAUAGAAAAGAAGAAACCAUAUUCCAUAAUUGCCUUUUUGGUGUCCUUUAGUAUAGGAUAUGAGACUAGCUGCCAGGUGGGAGGUUUGCCGUCUUCCAGGUAUACUGGAAAAGCUUUCAUCAGUUCUGAGUCAAUUGAAUCUAAAUCACCACCUUCCUCUGCCUGUUUAUGAGUAACAGCACACUUACCAGUAUCAUUAACUGUUAUUUGUAUAGGGUGCUGUGUAUAUUCAGUGUUGUCAUCUUCUGGGUUUGCCGGUGGCAGGGCAUGAGCGCUGCCAUUUUUCCAGAUGUUUUAAACAAGCAAACCGGAAGUGCCUUAACCUUGGGUGCUGCCCUCCGGCCGGAUGUUUACACCCGGGCUACCGGAAGCCUCAUGGGCAGCGCCAUUUUGAAGGAGGUCCCUAUCCGUGGAAGUGGAGGUUGCUACGAUGCCAUUUUGCCAGUUAGUACUUUUUCCCGCCACAGAAGUUAGUUAUUCUGCCACGGAAGUGCAUCGUCCUGUAAGUGUCCUUGGGGAGAGGCACUGUCUGGUGCUACCAGGUCACCUUGGCAACCAUUUUGUGUUGUCAGUGAAGGACAACUGCUAUCUUGGGCUGAAGUUUCCCACUCUUUUUUACUCAUUUUCCCGCCAUUUAAGGUGUUACUCUGGCUCCAGACAACAUCUUUGCUGUUAAAUUCUGGCAGUUCUUAAACCUUUCUUAACAUAAACAAUCCUCAUUUUAACACAGUAACUUUAUGAACUCUUUUACCUUUGUAAAUCCAGGGUUUGCAACAAGUAAGUUCAUUUAGGACUUCAUUUAAGAUUUUGGGUGUAACUUGAUAGAAACAUCAACCUUUAUUUCUCUAAAGAUUUGUAUGUAACUGGGUAGAAACAACAGCGUUAUUACUCGGAGGGUUUGUGUAUAACUAGGUAGAACAUCAGCUUUUGUUUUUCUGAGGGUCUAUGUGUAACCAGGUAGAAAACUCAACUUUAUUUCAAGAAGAAAAGUUUUUAGGGGAUAAGUAUUGUGUUUUCAGCUGUCCUCUGAUAAAAUAAUGUAGCUGAGGUAGUGUGGUUGUGUGAGUGUAGUUUAUUCAAGGCAUAUUUGUAUAAAGUGCUUUUGAGUUCACAUACAUAUGUAUGUCCACACAACCUUUCACAUUCAUGCAGGUGGCCACCUCAAUCUCUCUCCACUCAUGCAUACCUAAGAUUUUUGUUACGCCUCUACAUUUCAGCCAUGCAGUUUUGGUUUAGUAAUAGUCAUUAUUUGUGUGUUUCUUCAUCUGCAGUUUCUUCGUUGGUCACUUCCAGUGAUCGCUCUUGCUCUGAAAGAGGACUAAUAUUAGGCCUGAAACAUCUAGAAGGAACCUAUUUUAGUUUAGUACCUGUAGAUAUACAGGCAUAUCCUCUUCCCCAUGUCACGAGGUCCACCAGUCCUGACCACUGUCCAGAUACUAAGUCUUUUAUUAUGACUGGUGGUUUAGGAGAGGAAAGUGCCUGAGAUUCAUAUUGGCAUUCAUACCUACUAUAAUCUGUCAUCAUAAUUUAAGAAAUUUAAGACAUAGGUUGCUUUCCACAGGUGUUCCUGCAGACUAUAGAUGGAUUCCCCCUUUUUUUGUUUUUGCAACAUCUCCUUCAGAGUACGGUGUGCUCUCUCCACUAUAGCUUGUCCCGUGGGUGAGUGUGGUAUGCCUGUGAAAUGAAAAAUUCCCAAAUCUGUGAGAAAUGUUUUGACUUUUGAGGAACAAUAGGCAGGACCAUUGUCUGUUUUUAUGGUUUUUGGAGUUCCCAAAGUUGCAAAGCAACUAAGCCGUGUCUUAUAACAUCCCUUGCCUUUUCCCCAGUGUGUGCAGUACCAUUCAUAUAUUUAGAAUGUGUGUCUAUCGUGACAUGGACAUACUUUAACCAACCAAACUCGGUUAUGUGGGUCAUGUCUGUUUGCCAAAUUUCAUUGGCUGUUAUGCCUCGGGGAUUAACCCCUUCUCUAGAUGGCAUUGGGGCAAUUUGUUGACAGUCAGGGGACGACAUGAUGAUAUCUCGAGCUUGAUUCAUUAUGAGUUGAAAUUGCCUUUUUAGGGAACGUGUGAUAAUUUGACCUGCUCGAGAGUUUUGGGCACUGUGGCAAUCAUAGCGGCAGCAUCUGCUUUUUGAUUACCCUCUGCUGUGGGUCUUGGCAACUCUGUAUGGGAACAGACAUGCAUUAUGUAACGGUCCCGUGGUUUGAAUCUCGUGCCUGCUCUCCGUAGCCAGCACGCCUGCGAAAACUCAGCACAGAACUGCAGCUUAUACUCUUUUCCUCCCAGGUUCCCGGCAGCUCCCCCCCACUCCUCUCUCUAUUCCCGAUUUCUGGGGGAUUCCUGUGUCUAUCAGGAUUUGGGGAUGGGUGUGGUGGGUUGACCUUGGCUGGACGCCAGGUGCCCACCCAGGUGUUCUAUCACUCCCCUUCGCAGUGGGACAGAGGAGGGAGUAAGAUGGAAAAAAACAACCCAUGGCUUGGAUAAGGCAGUUCAUUUAAAGCAAAAAAAAAAAAAAAUAAAGUGAAGCGAAAGAUAGCACAAUUUAUUCUCCACUUCCCAUGAGCAGCGAUGGUUGGCCACUCCCGAGAAGGAGGGCUUUGGUAUGCAUGAUGGUUUCUCAGCAGGCAGCCAUUAGACAAGGAAUGCCUGCCUUCCUGCUCCUUGCCUCAGCUUUUAUAUCUGAGCUGACGUCAUAUGUUAUGGAAUGUCCCUUUGGUCAGUCUGGGGCAGCUGACCUACUUGGGUCCCCUCCCAGGAUCUUGCCCUCAACUAAGGAAGGAAUGUUACAGUGCUGGUGCUGUGCUCAGCAGUAGCCAAAACACCAAUGUGUUAUCAACACCCUUCUAGCUGCCAAUGCAAAGCACAGCACUGUGAGGGCUCCUGUGGGGAAAUGAACUCCAGCUCAGCCAGACCCAAUAUAGGGGGGCAGGAGAGUUAGAAUUUGUUUCCAUGGACUGAUUUGACUUCUUUUGAGCCGUUUUUAAGGCAUUCAGGACUUGCGUCCAUGUAGUUAAAUUUCUAGAGGCUUUCAUAUCUCCGAACACCAGUCUUUCUCUCACUGUCGUUCCAUUGUUUUGCCAAGCAGUUGCAUUCAGGACUCCGGCCAGCGGAAGCCCUGGUACAGUUACCUUCAUCCAUUUCAAUAACUCAACUAACUCUGUUCGCAUGAUUUCUUUUGAAUGCCUUCUCAGUAGUAAGCUCAAGGCUUCUGCAUCUCUUUCUAAUUCACGUGAACUACUUUUCUCUAUAUCGGCCUCUUACCUGGGACUUGAAUGCAACUUUUUCUUCUUUUUUCUUUAAAACUUUACUCUCUUCACGUAGGACUUCUUCCUACCCAUCCCAGGCCACACACGUGCACUUCUUCACUGGAGCUCCUUCCGUGGCUCUUGCCGCCCGAUGUCCAUCAUUUGUUCUCACAGCACUGGUACCUGAUGCUGCUGGUAAACAUCCAUCAGCAGCUAAUAUAGCACUGGUACCAGACGUUUCCCUGAUUUGUCCCUGGUACAGAGCACCAUAUGUAAAAAUACCCCGGCACAGACUCAGUCACUCGUUGUGAAUACCUGUUCAGAUGUGAAAUCCCAAAUAAUGGGAGGUGUCAACUGCCCUAGGAAUCUGCCCAAAUCCUUCCAUACACUCUGCCACUCAGGAACUGGAUGCCUCAGGGCACAUCUCAAUAUAUCAUCACCUAAAGUUUGUUUUCUCUUACACCAGGAUAACACCAGAUUCCAUGAACUCCAUAGCAUACUGACAGAAUUAGUCAUAGUAACAGUAUUAAACAGCUUACACAAAGAUUUAGCAAGGGCCACGGGAAACUUCAUUAUAAAGCCAUUCAUAUCAGCCUCAGGAUGGGUGUAUUCCUCCACUGUCCCCAGAAAAUGCUCCCCCAGCAUAACAAGGCUGUCAGUGGAAGGGCAAAGCACAGAGCCAUUGUUUAUAUCAGUAUGUUCCCAAAACUCAGCAAAAUAAAGUGAAAAGGAGUGCAGUUGGCAAACUGUGUCCUGCACAAGAGCUUGCAACUCAAUAGCUGCUGUCCCUAUAUCAUGCUCUAUAUAUAUAUGACUGUUUUUGUCUUGCCACACGUUCAGACACCUAAAGAACUGUAGUGGGUUAACCUUGGCUGCACACCAAGUGCCCACCCAGCCCCUCUAUCACUCCUCUUCCUAGCCGGAAAAGGGGAGAGAGAAUAAGAUGGAAAAUGAUGUGUGGUUUGGGAUAAGGCAGUUUACUAAAGCAAAAAAGGCAAAAGCUUGUAUGCACAAAAGCAAAGAGAAAAUAACAAGGUUUAUUCUCUACUUCCCAUCAGCAGCAAUGUCCAGCCACGCCCCAGGAAGCAGGGCUUCAAAACACAUAGUGGUUUCUUAGCAGGCAGACACUGGAAACAACAAAUGCCCCCUUCCUGCUCCUUUCUUUAGCUUUUAUAUUUGAGCUGACAUCAUGUCAUAUGGAAUAUCCCUUUGGUUAGUUUGGGUCAGCUGGCCUGGUUCUGUCCCCUCCCAGAAUAUUGCCCUCAACUGGGGAAGGAAUGUUACACUACUGAUGCCGUGCCAGCACUGCUCAGCAGUAGCCAAAACACUGGUGUGUUAUCAACACCCUUCUAGCUACCAGUGCAAACACAGCACUGUGAGGGCUGCUAUGUGGGAAAUGAACUCCAGCACAGCCAGACCUAAUACACAUGGAUUUACAAAAGGCAGGUCCUGCUUGACCAACAUGAUCUCCUUCUAUGACAAAGUGACCCACUUAGUAGAUGAGAGGAAGGCUGUAGAUGUGGCCUCUCUGGAUUUCAGUAAAGCAUUUGACGCCAUCUCCUGCAGCAUCCUCCUAGAGAAACUGGCUGCUUGCAGCUUGCAUGCAUGGACUCUUUGAUGGGUAAAAAACUGGCUGGAUUCUAGGCCCAGAGAGUUGUGGUGAAUGGAGCUACAUCCAGUUGGCAGCCGGUUGUUAGCGGUGUUUGCCAGGGCUCAGUGGUGGGGCUGGUCCUGUUUAACAUCUUUAUCAAUUGUAUGGAUGUGGAGAUUGAGUGCACCCUCACUAAAUUUGCAGAUGACACCAAGCUGGGUGGGUAUUGAUCUGCUCAAGGGUAGGAAGGCUCUGGAGAGAGACCUGGACAGACUCAGUCAAUGGGCUAAGGACAACUGCAUGAGGUUCAGAAAGGGAAGUGGUGGGUCCUGCACUUGGAUCACAACAACUCCAGGCAGUGCUAUAGGCCAGGGUAGAAGUGGCUCGAGAGCUGUUCAGCAGAAAGGGACUUUGAGAUGCUGGUCAGUAUGAGCCAGCAGUGUGCCCAGGUGGCCAAGAGGGCCAGUGGCAUCCUGGCUUAGAUCAGGAGUAGUGUGGCUGGCAGGACCAGGGCAGUGAUUGUCCCCCUGUACUGGGCACUGGUGAUGCACCUCAAGUGCUGCGUCCAGUUCUGGGGCCUUCACUACAGGAAGGACAUUGAGGCGCUCAAACAUGUCCAGCAAGGGCAACAAGAGUUGUGAAAGGUCUAGAGAACGUGUCUUAGCUCUGAGGAAGCUGGGUCUGUUUAGUCUUAAGAAAAGGAGGCUCAGGGGGUAGCUUAUCACUCUCCACAACUCCCUGGGAGAAGAUUGUAGCUAAGUGGGGUCCAAUCUGUUGUACCGUGCCUGCAGUGAGAGGACAAGGGGAAAUGGAUUUAAGGGGAAAUUCAGAUAAGGUAUUAGAAAAAAAAAACUUUCACUGUUAGGGUUGUCAGGCAUUGGAAUAGGCUGCCCAGGGAGGUGGUGGAGUCACCAUCCCUGGAGGUGUUGAAGAGGAUCUGGUGCUGGGUUAUGUGGUUUAGUGCUUAUGGAGUUACAGUGGCAGUGCUGGGUUGACAUUGGACUGGAUGUUCUUAAAGGUUUCUUCCAACCUUUAUGAUUCUAAGUUUGCAGUGGAAUUUUUUUAACAGGGACACAAAUACUGAAUCAAGGAAGCAUUUAUCUGUAAGGAUGGCAUGAGAAAUCUGUAUGGUUCAAAGACUUCUCCAAACUUCUCACACGGCCUGUUCAUGUUGCUUUCAGUGGUAUAACCAAUAUUCUGUCCAUUGCAGCUCACCAGUGGACUAACUGGGGAGUAGUCUGGCCUCCUGUUUACUGAAUGUCUUAAAUCAGUUUUGAACAUUCAGGAAAAUGCAUGCAGUUUCAACAGCCUGAAUAAGUUCAUUUUAUAGUUUAGAAAGCAACUACAUUAGUGGACAUGCCCUGCUGUCCCUCAGAGCAGAGCUUUGAUGGCUAACAGCACAACCAAAGAGAGAGGCAGCAAUCUUCUUCAGUACACAGUAUGAAGACUUGUAGUCAAAGCUGUCUAAAUUUCGGCCAUUUAUAAAUCCUUCUUACUUGCUGUUUCUUUAGUACCACUGAGGCAGAUAUGCACAUGUUCAGGUCUUGUGUAUUUAAAAACUGACAUAAAUAGCUCUUUGUAAAAGUGCUUUGUUCUGGGAGGAAAAAAAAAAAAAAAGACAAAAGAAAGAAAAAACUAAAACAAAAACAUUCAUGGGAAAAGUUAUGUCCAAAAUCUUUACAUGUUUUAAGUCCCUAUAUUCUAGAUUAAAUGACAGUCAUAGAGACUAUUUAGGUCACUAUAGCAGUCUCACCAACUCUCAACAUAGCACAUCUCAGAAAGCCAUAUUUAACAAUCUGGAACAGUAAACCAGUAGCUCUAAUUUGGGAAGACCUUUAUUGACACUAAACAUUUGGUGGUCAAUUCACUUACAUCAUUGCGUUUAAUACUUAGGUGUAUUAAAGCUGUAGGUAGAAAGAUAGAAUCCUGUUAUUCUCUUGUGUUCUAAAUAAGCAAGCUGAGAGUUCUUGUGCUCUGUGUGACACUGUUGCAGCAUUCACAUUAAUUUUGAAGCUUUUUGGCAAUACCAGAUUUCAUGUUAUUAUAUUCAGUGCUUUUCUGUGUACCGUAACUAUGUGGUUCUGUGAUGUGACUUUGUUACUUUACCUAAUGUGAAAGAAGAAAAUUACUUCCAAAUCAUAUAGGAUUCUGAUCAGCUGGAUCAUCUUUCCUGACUCUGAGGGCAGUAACCCAAUCUUUUCUGUUCUGACCACUGAAGAAAGCAAGUUAUUAGCUCUGUGCUUUCCCCUUAAUGGUAUUUGUGCAUUUGUUUGCUUUAGGAAUUUCACCCACCUCUUUGUGACUAAAUUCCUCCUAGUGUGGAAAGUAGGGUUUAUUUAAUGUUUACAUAGGGAAAAGACAGCAGACCAAAUGCUAAGUGAUGGACAUGAAACUGCAUGAGAAAAAACAUACUCUUAAGUGGUAAUGAAAGGACUUUCUGCUGUGCAAUCCAGCUCAGGAGAGUCUGAACUUCCAGUGUGAAGAUGUGGCGACACUUUGGGACUAUCUGCUGCUGGAAUGACCUGUCAGGUUGGGUUUCCUUCAGAGGCAAAGCACUUUCAGAGAUAGUUUAAAUGGGCACACAGUAGCCAGUAACAGCAGGUCCCUCUGGUGACUUUAAGCUUUAUCCUAUUCCUUUGGGUUGGUAACUGUUCUGCACUUCAGAUUUUCCCCUGCUAAUGAAGCCCUCACAGGGUGGUGUUGCUGAAUUAUGGUCAGCAUUUGACCUGUCUUACAACUGACUAGACUGAAAAUAAAUAGCCCAUUAUGUUAAUGUUUCAUUUACUUCUAGCUUUUUCAGUCUCAUGUAUUAAUAGCACUUAAUUAAUAUUAAUAGCUCUUAAUUAAUGAAGAUUAAUUAAUUAAAUUAAAGAUUAAUUAAUAAAAUUAAGAUCUAUAUUAAUAGCUCUUAAUAGCACUCAGCAGAAGCAAGGGAUUUUUUCUUUCUUUCUUUCCGGUGGUCUGUUUAAUCCUUUUCGUAAAGACUAAGGCUCCAAAUAUUUUACGAGACUUGAUGUAAGGUAAAGACAUUCACUUGAAAAUGCUACUUCCCUAGUCAUGAUCAUAUUUUAGGAUUAUAUGAGAAACACUGCUAAAAGUGCAUUAGAGGAGGGCUUGACAUGGAAUUACUGAUGUUAUUAUUCUCCUACUAAAUCAGACUUUAAUCAGUUCCAUUUCCUCACAAGUGGAACAGGUACUCAAGUGGGCCAGUAACCGUGCAAACUGUUGUAUUUUUAGUUACUUCCCGUAGCGCUUUGCAGCUGGAGGAGGGAGAGCAAAGACUGUGGAGCCGGGAAAGUGCAGAGAACAAGUGCAUGCAGUGACUGUUCCCUCAGCCCAGAAGCAGCGCUGAGGCUGCACCAGCCACUACCCUGUGAGCCACCAGCGAGUGGCACUGCAGUUAACGUGGCAUCAGAAUUAAAAGGGGAUUAAAUCUUUAUCCACAGCUAAGUGGGUACGCAAUGUAAUAGGACCAAGCUUGGGACAUUCACAAACAAAACUCACAGAGAGCGAGGGUUAAGUACAUUAGUUGAGACUGCAGGGUAUUAAGGAGGUGAGCAACUCCUUAUCCUAUAUAAAACAGGUGGAAAAAUUUUUCCACCAAGGAUGUAUUCAAAGAAAUGAGUAUUUUAAAGCAAGUGGUAAGCUAGUCUUUGAAAGAAAAAUCAACAUUUACAUAUUUAUUCGGAAGAUCCAAGAGCGCAGUUACAAAUACAGAUAAACUACUUCUCUUAAACUGACUUUUCCACAUGAGAGGUCAAAUUCAAGACAAAAUACUGUUUCUUUCAGCAUUAAAGCUGCAUGCCCUGUUCUCCUGCACUUUUCCCAAAGCAGAAAAUGGUCAGUGCACUUAGCCAGCAUGGACCAUUCCUGCUAGGAUUGCUUUAUUUGGAGCAGGAACAGUAAUUUUGGAAAGAGCUUCCAGUAGGUUUAGAUGAGUUUCAACAAAAGUUGUGGAACUGAGAAUGGUGCGUGGGUCAGGUACAGGAGCGGCAAGGAAGAAUUUUGCUGGACUUCCUAAUUAGGGUUGCAGGUCGUAGUUAGUUAUGAUUCUAGUACUGGAUUAACAGUCUCAUAUGAGAUAAAUUCAUUUAGUAGCACUCACAUACAAGGGUUUUAUCAUCUCAAAUGUUCUAGGUGCUUUUAUGAAGUUUAAUGUAUUCACAGACCCAGGUGGCAAACAGUUCCUGCAAUAUAUAGAAAUGGGUAGCCUUGCAAGUGAAAUUUUCCAUGUGCUGUCCUCUUGGAUGUUUCUGGCAUGGUGCUUUUCUACAGCCACUUUCCUUAGAAGUGCUGGAUAGUAUUUACAAGGAGCAGUACUAGCCUUGCCUUCCCCGUACUGCUGGUCGGAUGGAGUAUGGUAGGUCAGGGAGACUUUACCACAGAUAGAUGCCUUUAUCAAGACCUACAAUUCUAUGCAACUUUCUAUUAACUGAGUAAAUACUGAACUGUCUUCCAGCAUUAUAGGUCACUGCCAAUCUAUUUACAUUUUCUACCUUUAUAUGCACAAGAAGGAUAAACCAGCACUUAACAGAUCUUAAUCUCUUAUCUAGUCUGUAAAAGAAACAGUAACACUUUGUAUCACUUUGAAGUACACUUUGUAUAAAAGUUGAGACUAAUAAAGGUUCUACACCAUAA